GUCGGUUUGGCCGAGUGGUUAAGGCGACAGACUAGAAAUCUGUUGGAGUUUCUCCGCACAGGUUCAAAUCCUGUAGCCGACG
rnacentral:tRNA from 11 species